AUGGACUACAACGGCUCUGUAGAAAAUAACUCCCAGCUAAUAACUGCACAAAUCAUCCUGCAGAGCCAGCUGUUACCAGGACUGCAAGCAUUCCUGUUGUUUGUUUUUGGAGGAGCCCUGUGUGGUUGUGUCGAAGCCCAGACGAUGUACAAAUUCGCCAGUGGUCACUGUGAAGAACACCAUGAUAUUUUAAAGGUUUCUAUGUCAAUGCAUGAGUUUUUAAAUAAUUUGAUAAUUUUCAUAACGUGCUUGGACUUGAUUCUCUAACCUGUAUUUCAGGAAGCAGUUCAUCAGUGUGGGUGACUCCAUGGUAGCCUCACCUGAAAACUUUCCAGGUUUCCUAAAUUCCACUGUCUUGCACAUGUUUGUUAUAACUUCAUAGCAACUAUGUCCAUAUGCAGAAUGAUGAAAGGGUGAUUUAUUUUUUAUUAUCUGACUAGAAUAAUGCUGAAGAAGCAAUGAAGCUUGUGUAUUAUGAAAAGACAGAACAGGGAUAUCCGAGCAUGUACAGUGGGGGAAUAAGAAAUGAAUUUUACAGCAUCCUUCAGAAAGUUUAUCAUAAGGAAAACUUGUCUUUGAAACCUUCUCUUCCUCAGUGGGAAAAUAAUAUAUACGUGAAAAUCAUGGGUUUUCUUGGCUUCUAGUAUCACCAGAGUUUUCUUGGAAGUAAAGGAGCAGUCCUGCUUUCAUUAAUUCCAAAAAAGCUUUGCAUUCAAGCUAUUCACCUGGAGUGAAGGGCUACCUAAUUCAGUCUGCACACAUGGAUUAUGCAUCCUAUGUGAAAGUCUUUGAUCCAUGAGAAAACCAACAUUUGUUGAUCUGUUUUGCACCGUAUCUUGCAAUGAAUGCUUUUGCAUAUAUGUAUUUUAUUGUAUCUGAUGUCUAAAAAAGAAUUUACUGAAUAACACUUGAGUGAAUAAACUGAAAGUUUCUCAAGAGUCA
rnacentral:lncRNA from 1 species